GGAGUUUAAAACAGGUUCUUGUUGUGUUGGCAAAGUGUUUAAAGUGACGGACGCUUUAAAUCAUCUCAGCUACUUUCUGUAACUUCUGUUAUAAAGACCAAACACUAACAGAAUAAAGACUGGCCCCGCCCACUGAAGUCCAACUGGGCCAAUGAGAUUGUUGGAGUGUCCAGUGCAGAGAUGUUGGAGGAAGUCAAAGCACAAUGAGCUGGAUGUUGAGGACGACUGUGCAGCAGAGAGGCUGCUGAGUGGUUUCAUUCUCCUGCAGUGGAAGAACAUUGUUCAUCUGUUUGGCUUCAACUACGAAGACUAAGACAUGUUGCUUCACCUCUUUGUGUUUCUAUCUCCCUUCAUAGCCAUGGGUUCCAUGGACAGCAUAACACCAGAAAGUACUGAAGAAGUAGUUUCAGAGGGAAGACACAUCAACCUGACCUGUAAAUAUGACGGAUCCAUCAACAGCAUCCAGUGGUACCGACAACAGCAGAGAUCCAGACCAGAGUUCCUGCUCUACAUCACAGUGGAAGGAUCCAUUCAUCCAACUCUGUCUGAUUUCUCUGCUCACAUAAACCAGACUGAGAAACGAGUCAAACUGCAGAUCUCCUCUGCUGCAGUGACAGACUCUGCUGUGUACUACUGUGCUCUGCCGCCCACAGUGACAGGAAACUACACAACUCUGUACAAAAACCUGUGGAGCAAACACACAACUCCUCAUCCUCCACUAGAGGAAGUCACUCACUGUUAA